AGAGUUUGAUCAUGGCUCAGAUUGAACGCUGGCGGCAGGCCUAACACAUGCAAGUCGAGCGCGAAAGGCUUUCGGGCUGAGUAGAGCGGCGGACGGGUGAGUAACGCGUAGGAAUCUACCUGGUAGUGGGGGACAACUUGGGGAAACUCAAGCUAAUACCGCAUACGCCCCAUGGGGGAAAGCGGGGGACCUUCGGGCCUCGCGCUAUCGGAUGAGCCUGCGUAGGAUUAGCUAGUUGGUGGGGUAAAGGCUCACCAAGGCGACGAUCCUUAGCUGGUCUGAGAGGAUGAUCAGCCACACUGGGACUGAGACACGGCCCAGACUCCUACGGGAGGCAGCAGUGGGGAAUAUUGCGCAAUGGGGGCAACCCUGACGCAGCCAUGCCGCGUGUGUGAAGAAGGCCUUCGGGUUGUAAAGCACUUUAAGUGGGGAGAAAAGGGUGACCGUUAAUAGCGGUCACCUGUGAUGUACCCACAGAAUAG
rnacentral:rRNA from 1 species